ensembl:miRNA
AUUAGGUUGGUGCAAAAAUAAUUGAGGUCUUUCCAUUACUUCUAAUGGCAAAGACUGCAAUUACUUUUGCACCAACCUAAU